UACAGAGGUCCCAAGCGUUGUUCGGAUUCACUGGGCGUAAAGGGUGCGUAGGUGGUGAGGUAAGUCGGAUGUGAAAUCUCCGAGCUCAACUCGGAAAUGGCAUUGGAAACUACCUUGCUCGAGGGUUGGAGGGGGGACUGGAAUGCUUGGUGUAGCAGUGAAAUGCGUAGAUAUCAAGCGGAACACUAGUGGCGAAGGCGAGUCCCUGGACAACUCCUGACACUGAGGCACGAAAGCUAGGGGAGCAAACAGG
rnacentral:rRNA from 1 species